rnacentral:misc_RNA from 1 species
GAUGAAGAACGUAGCGAAAUGCGAUAAGUAAUGUGAAUUGCAGAAUUCAGUGAAUCAUCGAGUUUUUGAACGCAUAUUGCGCCCUCUGGUAUUCCGGGGGGCAUGCCUGUUCGAGCGUCAUUAAAUAACCCUCAAGCAUAGCUUGGUGUUGGGCUUUUUUACGUCCUUGACUGGGAUGGGCCUAAAAAUUAGUGGCGAUGGCUUUUUUACUUUCAAGCGUAGUAAAUCUCGUCUUGCUAAAGAGGAAAAAGAUUUUUUUUCUGCCAAAAAUUUUAACAUUUAAAGUUGACCUCGGAUCAGGUAGGAUUACCCGCUGAACUUAAGCAUAUCAAUAAGCGGAGGA